UACAGAGGUGGCAAGCGUUGUUCGGAAUUACUGGGCGUAAAGGGCGCGUAGGCGGCCUUGUAAGUCCUGUGUGAAAUCCCCCGGCUCAACUGGGGAACUGCACAGGAGACUGCUUGGCUUGAGUUCGGGAGAGGGAAGCGGAAUUCCGGGUGUAGCGGUGAAAUGCGUAGAUAUCCGGAGGAACACCGGUGGCGAAGGCGGCUUCCUGGACCGACACUGACGCUGAGGCGCGAAGGCGUGGGGAGCGAAUGGG
rnacentral:rRNA from 1 species